AGGGUGGGCCUUUAGCCCAAAUUCUUCAAUUUUUCGAUCUGUUGCUUCUUUCAGCUUCGGGACCUGUUCGUCGACUUUUAUAGCUGGCUGACUCGGAUAAAAAUAGAAUUGGGCCUCCAUGGCCCAAAGGAAAAUGCAAGGAGAGGGUCCAUAGAACCCGGACAGAUUUCACAUGCAAACACAAAAAUGGAAAUUUAGUAAGUAAGGGUCAAAUAAAACAGAAUUUAUAUGCUACCAUAUUCUAAAUUUUAUAUACUACCAUAUUCUAGCACUUACAUACCACCAUAUUCUAAUAUCUAUC
rnacentral:lncRNA from 1 species